rnacentral:lncRNA from 1 species
UUUUGAUCCCAAUCUCAAAAAAUUUUGAGAAAAACUCAAAACUAGGUUUUUAGGUACCUAUUUAAUUUUUUUCUUCUACAAAAAUGAUUUCAUUAUGUUUUGUUUAAAUGAUUAGCGGAUGUUUGCGAAAUGGGGAACUAAUAUCUAAGUCGUCAAACCCUUUAAUUGAGGCGUUGGUUAGAUGUUUAUUAUAUCUAAGAAUAAAAAAAGAACUAU